AAAGUCUUGAGAUUACGGCAAAAACAGAAGAGGCUUUAGAAAAAGAAGUCAACCAUCGUGUCGAGUUUGCGCCCCAAAUUGGCCGUCGGGUUACUGGUGUGCAGUUUAUGAAAACACUGGCUGCCGAUGGGAACCACAGGGCUAUACUCACGAUCGAAGGAGGAUGUUGCUGCUAAAAAACAAUUCCCCUAAAUCGAUUCAAGCGAGAUUGCGAACCUGCUUUCUCGCAAUCUCAACUCAAUUCCUAAAAAGAAAAAAGUGUAAUUGACGAUUCCGUGUUGGAUACGGCUGACGGUACCUUGCGAAUAAGAGGUUGCUAACUCUGUGCCAGCAGCAGCGGUAAUACAGAGACCUCAAGCGUUAUCCGGAUUUAUUGGGCGUAAAGCGUGUGUAGGUGGCGAUGAUAGUCAGAUGUCAAAUUCCAGCGCUCAACGUUGGAGCUGCAUCUGAAACGUCAUCACUAGAGGCAAGUAGAGGCUCAUGGAACAUAUGGUGUAGCAGUGAAAUGCGUUGAUAUCAUAUGGAACGCCAAAGGAGAAGUCAGUGAGCUGGGCUUUGCCUGACACUGAGACACGAAAGCGUGGGUAGCGAACGGGAUUAGAUACCCCGGUAGUCCACGCCCUAAACGUUGCCAACUAGGUCUUGGAAGUAUCGACCCUUUCAGGACCGUAGCUAACGCGUUAAGUUGGCCGCCUGGGAAGUACGGCCGCAAGGCUAAAACUCAAAGGAAUAGACGGGGACCCGCACAAGCGGUGGAGCACGCGGUUCAAUUCGUCAACAAGCGAGGAACCUCACCAGGGCUUGAAAUCCUACUGCAAAUCCCGAGAAAUCGGGACUUCUUCGAGAGUGUAGGACAGGUGCUGCAUGGUUGUCGUCAGCUCGUGCCGUGAGGUGUUCCGUUAAGUCGGGAAACGAGCGCAACCCCUGUCGAGUGUUACUUAUGUCACUCGAGACUGCCCAGCCCAGAGUUUUCGAAUCAUCGAAAAUUUCGGGCUGGGAGGAAGGUGGGGAUGACGUCAAAUCAGCAUGGCCCUCUGACGCCCUGGGCGACACGCAUGCUACAAUGGCCGGUACAAUGGGUUGCCAAACCGCGAGGUGGAGCCAAUCCCAUAAAGCCGGUCCCAGUUCGGAUUGGAGUCUGCAACUCGACUCCAUGAAGCCGGAAUCGCUAGUAAUCGUGAAUCAGCCAUGUCACGGUGAAUACGUUCUCGGGUCUUGUACUCACCGCCCGUCACACCAAGAGAGUCGGUAAUACCCAAAGUGCCACGCAAGUGGUCCUACGGUAGGAUCGAUAAUAAGGGUGAAGUCGUAAAUUUGUUGCGACCUCAAAGAGCAAUCUUUG
rnacentral:rRNA from 1 species